rnacentral:rRNA from 1 species
AGAGUUUGAUCCUGGCUCAGGAUGAACGCUAGCGGCAGGCUUAACACAUGCAAGUCGAGGGGCAGCGGGGAGGAAGCUUGCUUUCUCCGCCGGCGACCGGCGCACGGGUGAGUAACACGUAUGCAACCUGCCCCUGUCAGGGGGACAACCCGCCGAAAGGCGGGCUAAACCCGCGUACAUGCCACCGGGGCAUCCCGGAGGCAGGAAAGGCUUCGGCCGGACAGGGAUGGGCAUGCGGCGCAUUAGGCAGUAGGCGGGGUAACGGCCCACCUAACCGACGAUGCGUAGGGGUUCUGAGAGGAAGGUCCCCCACACUGGUACUGAGACACGGACCAGACUCCUACGGGAGGCAGCAGUGAGGAAUAUUGGUCAAUGGUCGGGAGACUGAACCAGCCAAGCCGCGUGAGGGAUGAAGGUACAGAGUAUCGUAAACCUCUUUUGUCAGGGAACAAAGGCGGGGACGCGUCCCCGGAUGAGUGUACCUGAAGAAAAAGCAUCGGCUAACUCCGUGCCAGCAGCCGCGGUAAUACGGAGGAUGCGAGCGUUAUCCGGAUUUAUUGGGUUUAAAGGGUGCGCAGGCGGUCUGUUAAGUCAGCGGUCAAAGCCCGGGGCUCAACCCCGGCCCGCCGUUGAAACUGGCAGUCUCGAGUUGGAGAGAAGUAUGCGGAAUGCGCGGUGUAGCGGUGAAAUGCAUAGAUAUCGCGCAGAACUCCGAUUGCGAAGGCAGCAUGCCGGCUCCACACUGACGCUGAGGCACGAAAGCGUGGGUAUCGAACAGGAUUAGAUACCCUGGUAGUCCACGCAGUAAACGAUGAAUGCUGGCUGUCCGGGGGGACUGACCCCUGGGUGGCGAAGCGAAAGCGAUAAGCAUUCCACCUGGGGAGUACGCCGGCAACGGUGAAACUCAAAGGAAUUGACGGGGGCCCGCACAAGCGGAGGAACAUGUGGUUUAAUUCGAUGAUACGCGAGGAACCUUACCCGGGCUCAAACGGGGAGUGACUCAGGCAGAGACGCCUGUUUCCCACGGGACACUCCCCGAGGUGCUGCAUGGUUGUCGUCAGCUCGUGCCGUGAGGUGUCGGCUUAAGUGCCAUAACGAGCGCAACCCCCGCGUGCAGUUGCUAACAGAUAACGCUGAGGACUCUGCACGGACUGCCGGCGCAAGCCGCGAGGAAGGCGGGGAUGACGUCAAAUCAGCACGGCCCUUACGUCCGGGGCGACACACGUGUUACAAUGGGUGGUACAGCGGGAAGCCAGGCGGCGACGCCGAGCGGAACCCGAAAUCCACUCUCAGUUCGGAUCGGAGUCUGCAACCCGACUCCGUGAAGCUGGAUUCGCUAGUAAUCGCGCAUCAGCCAUGGCGCGGUGAAUACGUUCCCGGGCCUUGUACUCACCGCCCGUCAAG